AUUGAACGCUGGCGGCAGGCCUAACACAUGCAAGUCGAACGAGUGGCGGACGGGUGAGUAAUGUCUGGGAAACUGCCUGAUGGAGGGGGAUAACUACUGGAAACGGUAGCUAAUACCGCAUACCCUCGGAUGUGCCCAGAGGGGAUUAGCUCGGAGGGGGGGUAACGGCUCACCUAGGCGCCGCUCCCUAGCUGGUCGUAGAGGAUGACCAGCCACACUGGAACUGAGACACGGUCCAGACUCCUACGGGAGGCAGCAGUGGGGAAUAUUGCACAAUGGGCGCAAGCCUGAUGCAGCCAUGCCGCGUGUAUGAAGAAGGCCUUCGGGUUGUAAAGUACUUUCAGCGGGGAGGCGUUACCCGCAGAAGAAGCACCGGCUAACUCCGUGCCAGCAGCCGCGGUAAUAC
rnacentral:rRNA from 1 species